rnacentral:rRNA from 1 species
CGGGGGGGGUAAGCGUUGUUCGGAAUUACUGGGCGUAAAGGGUUUGUAGGUGGCUUGCUAAGUCAGACGUGAAAUCCCUCAGCUUAACUGGGGAACUGCGUCUGAUACUGGCGAGCUUGAGUGCAGGAGAGGAACGCGGAAUUCCAGGUGUAGCGGUGAAAUGCGUAGAUAUCUGGAGGAACACCGGUGGCGAAGGCGGCGUUCUGGACUGCAACUGACACUGAAAAACGAAGCCAGGGGAGCAAACGGGAUUAGAUACCCCGGUAGUCCUGGCCCUAAACGAUGAAUGCUUGGUGUGGCGGGUAUCGAUCCCUGCCGUGCCGAAGUUAACGCGUUAAGCAUUCCGCCUGGGGAGUACGGUCGCAAGGCUG